rnacentral:rRNA from 1 species
UCAGACGAUGCGUCAUGCAUAUCAAUAAGCGGAGGAAAAGAAACUAACAAGGAUUCCCCUAGUAACGGCGAGUGAAGCGGGAAGAGCUCAAAUUUGAAAUCUUAAAGGGUUUCCCUUUACGAAUUGUAGUUUAAAGAAGUGUUUUCUGUUGAGGUUUUGGUAAAAGUUCUUUGGAAUAGGACAUCAUAGAGGGUGAGAAUCCCGUAUUUGACCUUUACUUUCAACUUUGUGAUACACUUUCAAAGAGUCGGAUUGUUUGGGAAUGCAGUCCAAAAUGGGUGGUAAAUUUCAUCUAAAGCUAAAUAUUGGCGAGAGACCGAUAGCGAACAAGUACCGUGAGGGAAAGAUGAAAAGGAACUUUGAAAAGAGAGUUAAACAGUACGUGAAAUUGUCAAAAGGGAAGCGUUUGACACCAGUGUUGUUUUUUCUGAAAAUCAAUUAAAGAACUGUUUAUGCUAAGCUGUUUAGACUUUAUCAGCUAUCUGUUUAGUUUUGAGCUUUUCUUUAAUGCACUUUUCAGUUAACAAGUCAACAUCAAUUUCUUUUGCUGUAAAAAAGCUUGAGGAAGGUGGCUUGAGAUUCGUCUUAAGUGUUUAUAGCCUCUUGCCUAUGCAGUCGGAGAGAUUGAGGUCUGCAGCGUAGAUCCUUCGGGGCUAAAUGCAUUUGUGCUAAGUUAUAGCAUUUUAUAGACAACUUGUUGACUAUGAUUUGUCUUGUAGCUUACUCGCUUAUGUUAUUUUACCUACGCUUAGGAUGUUGAGCGCAUGUCUCUCUCU